GCAAGUCGAACGCUAUUUAUAUAGUGGCGCACGGGUGAGUAACGCGUGGGAACCUGCCUUUUUCUGCGUGAUAACGGUUGGAAACGACCGCUAAUACCGCCUACUCCCUACGGAGGAAAGGUCCGGUGGAAAAAGAGGGGCCCGCGGCUGAUUAGCUUGUUGGUAGGGUAAUGGCCUACCAAGGCGACGAUCAGUAGCUGGUCUGAGAGGAUGAUC
rnacentral:rRNA from 1 species